UUUUGAAGAAGCAGUUGAAAAAGACGCAACCAAAACUGCCGUCUCAGAUGGAACUGUCCAUCCCUUGACCAGCUAUGUGAUUAAUUACGUGAAGUUCCUGUUUGACUAUCAAUCAACAUUGAAGCAACUAUUUCAAGAAUUUGAAAAUGGAGGAGAUUCGAAUUCUCAGCUAGCUGCUGUUACAAUGCGUAUAAUGCAGGCUCUUCAAACCAAUUUGGAUGGGAAAUCUAAGCAGUAUAAGGAUUCUGCUCUGACUCACUUGUUCCUUAUGAACAAUAUUCACUAUAUGGUCAGAUCUGUCCGGAGGUCUGAAGCCAAAGACUUAUUAGGGGAUGACUGGGUGCAAAGACACCGGAGAGUUGUACAGCAACACGCAAAUCAAUAUAAAAGAAUUGCUUGGGCGAAGAUCCUUCAAUCUCUAUCGAUUCAAGGGCUAACAUCAUCUGGAGGCAGUAGUUCUAGUGGUGUAGAUGGACAAAAUAGCAGCGGAGUUUCAAGAUCCACCGUAAAAGAAAGGUUCAAGAUGUUCAAUGCACAGUUUGAGGAGCUUCAUCAAAGGCAAUCUCAAUGGGCUGUUCCAGAUACUGAGUUGCGAGAGUCAUUGAGGCUUGCGGUUGCUGAAGUUUUGCUGCCUGCAUACAGAUCUUUCAUCAAACGCUUUGGGCCUUUGGUUGAGAGUGGUAAAAAUGCCCAAAAGUACGUCAGAUAUUCAGCUGAAGAUCUUGACCGUAUGCUGGGUGAAUUCUUUGAGGGUAAGACGUUUAAUGAGCCCAAACGGUAAACGACAGCUAUGUUCUAUGCACUACCCUUAAUCCUCUCCUCUGCUGUUGCUGAUACAGUUGCUACAUGAUUGAGUUCCUACAACUAGUUGAUGACAGCACUUCUGGUUCAACUCCGUUCGAUACCAAUAUGUUCAGAAUCUACAAGAUGCAAUAAACAGUUUAUUUUUUUUUAAUAUAGCAUUCUGUAUAGAGCAGUUCAGUAUAUGAAAAUGGAACAUGUCCCAGUAUUAUAGUUGUCACAUCUCUUGUCCAAAAAUGUGGUGCUUGUAUUAAAGAUUGUCCAUGUUUUAUAUGCUUUUGUACAGCAAAACCUUUUGAUGUUUG
rnacentral:misc_RNA from 1 species